rnacentral:pre_miRNA from 1 species
GGGGGGAGCGCAGGAUCCUGGGCUGUGUCCCUUGGCGCCCUGGGCUCCGGGGCCUGCCGCUGGAAUCGCGCUCCCGGGGCCGCGCAGCCCCCU